AGAGACGCGAUCAACCGCAAUCAGGGCGUAAGUGAAAACACACAGUCCCGUAAAGUGUCCUGGGAAAGAUGCCACGUUAAUAAAAGGGGAAAAUGCAGAGGAAUGUGUGAGGAGGGAGCUGUUAAGAAAACGCCAGUGCCCAUAAACUCUGCUCUGCAGCCCUCACCCCGCCUCCAAUCAUGGCUCCAACUUGUUUUUCAUUGGAACUUAAGAAAAAAACCUUCAAGAAACUAGCCUGUUUAUGAAGACAGCAGAGGACGGAGCUGGCCACCUGGCUGGUAUCUGCCUCUGCUGAGCCUCUGUGUCCCCUGCCUGGCCGCUGCCCUUCCACAAGUAUCUGGUGUGACUGGCCUUGAGUGACAUUCCUCAUUAUAUACUGUGUCUUACUAGAACUGCCGUCUGGCAGGCCAGGAUGCGGGGUGCAAAAGAAGAGGGUUAUAGUGGAUCCGUGCGCAGCAAGGACCAUUGUUUCUACUCUGGGGCAUUUCUGAAGCACUAUGACAGCUGUUGUGGAGCCCGGUCCAUCCUGAGCACUCCAGCGUUCCAUUUCAAGGAUCUCUUCCUGGCUCCCCUCCCACCGUCAUUCCUUUGAGAGAAUGUGGCCCCGAGAUCAAGGCAGGGAGAGCUGCCAGCUACUGCCACCUGACACAAAGCCUCAUCACCCUUGUGUAUUUCUCUCCCCUCUCCAUUCUCACCAUGGAGUCACAAUGUGGGUCAUUCUUUCCUUUCACCAAGGGAUGAGCAGGGGAAGAGAGGGCUGGAAAAAGAGACCUCUUCCUUUGCUGACUGAUUAGGAAGAAGUGUGGGGUCCAAGUGGGCCCACCCCUUGCCUAAUUUUUGCCCAAUUUUUUGGCCCCUGGAGUCCCUGGUAGACUUCUUAUCUUCUUGCGCACAAGGUUACCGUGUGUCUAAUUGCUCAGCUCCGGUUAGAGUGGCGGAGGGAAAUUGGCGUUAAUGAAUGAAUGAAUGAAUCGUUGGAUGGUUUACUGACAGCUUGGAGAAUCAACUAGGGUUUGAGCAAGAACCAGAAAGAGAAGGCCAACAUCUUUUAGCUUACCAAAUACUUUCAUGCCCCUUGGGAAGAAGAAAAACGGACAUGGGAGAGGCAGAGCAUGGAAGAGUUUAAAUUGAGCAUAAAGGACAUAAAACUAGAUAAGUAUGAUCAGAAGAUAAAAGAUGAGUAAUCAUCAAAUCCAAACCUUUACAUUUUCAGCAGAGGCUGCCAAAACCUCAAGGGGAAGUGACUUUUUUAAAAUCACAGAACCAGAGUGACUUGGGUCUUUUGACUCUUUUUUUUUUUUUUUUUUUGGUCCCUGAUAAAAUGUUGCUCUUUUCUUCUCCA